AUUGAACGCUGGCGGCAUGCCUUACACAUGCAAGUCGAACGGCAGCAUGGAGAGCUUGCUCUCUGAUGGCGGGUGGCGAACGGGUGAGUAAAGCAUCGGAACGUACCGUGUAGUGGGGGAUAACGUAGCGAAAGUUACGCUAAUACCGCAUACGCACUGAGAUGGAAAGCAGGGGAUCGCAAGACCUUGCGCUAUACGAGCGGCCGAUGUCAGAUUAGCUAGUUGGUAGGGUAAAGGCCUACCAAGGCGACGAUCUGUAGCGGGUCUGAGAGGAUGUUCCGCCACACUGGGACUGAGACACGGCCCAGACUCCUACGGGAGGCAGCAGUGGGGAAUUUUGGACAAUGGGGGCAACCCUGAUUCAGCCAUGCCGCGUGAGUGAAGAAGGCCUUCGGGUUGUAAAGCUCUUUCGGCCGGGAAGAAAUCGCACAGGCUAAUACUCUGUGUGGAUGACGGUACCGGCAUAAGAAGCACCGGCUAACUACGUGCCAGCCGCCGCGGUAA
rnacentral:rRNA from 1 species